GACGUACGCUGGCGGCGUGCUUAACACAUGCAAGUCGAGCGGUAAGGCCCUUUCGGGGGUACACGAGCGGCGAACGGGUGAGUAACACGUGGGUGACCUGCCCUCAGCUCUGGGAUAAGCCUGGGAAACCGGGUCUAAUACCGGAUAUGACUCCAUGACGCAUGUUGUGGGGUGGAAAGCCUUGUGCGGCUGAGGAUGGGCCCGCGGCCUAUCAGCUUGUUGGUGGGGUGANGGCCUACCAAGGCGACGACGGGUAGCCGGCCUGAGAGGGCGACCGGCCACACUGGGACUGAGACACGGCCCAGACUCCUACGGGAGGGCAGCAGUGGGGAAUCUUGCGCAAUGGGCGAAAGCCUGACGCAGCGACGCCGCGUGAGGGAUGACGGCCUCGGUUGUAAC
rnacentral:rRNA from 1 species